rfam:Arabis alpina cultivar Pajares scaff_62844_1_contig_0, whole genome shotgun sequence.
GGGUGCGAUCAUACCAGCACUAAUGCACCGGAUCCCAUCAGAACUCCGCAGUUAAGCGUGCUUGGGCGAGAGUAGUACUAGGAUGGUUGACUUCUGGGAAGUCCUCGUGUUGCACCCC